AUUGAACGCUGGCGGCAUGCCUUACACAUCCAAGUCGAACGCGAAAGGGGGGCAACUCCUGAGUAGAGUGGCGCACGGGUGAGUAAUGCAUCGGAACGUGUCCUGUAGCGGGGGAUAACCUAGCGAAAGCUAGGCUAAUACCGCAUACGUCCUACGGGAGAAAGUGGGGGAUCGUAAGACCUCACACUAUAGGAGCGGCCGAUGCCGGAUUAGCUAGUUGGUGGGGUAAAAGCCUACCAAGGCGACGAUCCGUAGCUGGUCUGAGAGGAUGAUCAGCCACACUGGGACUGAGACACGGCCCAGACUCCUACGGGAGGCAGCAGUGGGGAAUUUUGGACAAUGGGGGAAACCCUGAUCCAGCCAUGCCGCGUGAGUGAAGAAGGCCUUCGGGUUGUAAAGCUCUUUCGGCCGGGACGAAAUCGCACGCGUGAAUAUCGCGUGUGGAUGACGGUACCGGAAGAAGAAGGACCGGCUAACUACGUGCCAGCCGCCGCUGUAA
rnacentral:rRNA from 1 species